rnacentral:rRNA from 1 species
AGUGAACGCUGGCGGUAGGCCUAACACAUGCAAGUCGAACGGCAGCACAGGAGAGCUUGCUCUCUGGGUGGCGAGUGGCGGACGGGUGAGGAAUACAUCGGAAUCUACUCUGUCGUGGGGGAUAACGUAGGGAAACUUACGCUAAUACCGCAUACGACCUACGGGUGAAAGCAGGGGACCUUCGGGCCUUGCGCGAUUGAAUGAGCCGAUGUCGGAUUAGCUAGUUGGCGGGGUAAAGGCCCACCAAGGCGACGAUCCGUAGCUGGUCUGAGGGGAUGAUCAGCCACACUGGACCUGAGACACGGUCCAGACUCCUACGGGAGGCAGCAGUGGGGAAUAUUGGACAAUGGGCGCAAGCCUGAUCCAGCCAUACCGCGUGGGUGAAGAAGGCCUUCGGGUUGUAAAGCCCGUUCGUUGGGAAAGAAAUCCAGCUGGCUAAUACCCGGUUGGGAUGACGGUACCCAAAGAAUAAGCACCGGCUAACUUCGUGCCAGCCGCCGCUGUAA